CUUGGUGGCUGAGAAUGGGAAAUACCUGAUCCCAUUCCGAACUCAGAAGUAUCAAGCCCUUCAUCGCCGAUGGUACUGCACACAGGAGUGUGGGAGAGUAGGCCGCCGCCAAAU
rnacentral:rRNA from 1 species